UAAGUUAAUAAAUGAGUGAUGGAUUCAAAAUGGAAAAAAUUUUUACUUUUGUUUGCUACAAACCAAGAAGAAAGCAAUAAAUAUCUAGCUGCAUUAAAUUCCUGUAGCCGAGAAUAUAAAGUUGCUAUCCAACAAAGUGAGCAGGAAUUACGGAUACGAAGAGCUCGAGUAAUAUCGAUUUAUUAUGAAAUAUUAAUGUUGACAACAAUACCUCUUUGUAAAGAAAUAAACCCAAGAAGUUUUUGGGCAUACAAGCGACAUGGGAACUUCUGGGAAAAGGAUGUUCCAUCAAUGAACGACCGCGUUUUUAAGGAAACCUUUCGCAUGAGCAGGGCAACCUUUGAUAUAGUGUGUGAAUAUGUCAAAGGUAUUACCAAACAGGAUUCAUGCUAUAGGAAGUGCAUCCCAUUGCAGAAAAGGGUAGCCGUUGCCGUCUACAAAUUAAAAUCUUCGGCGGAGUAUGAAAUUGUUGCACGACUAUUCGGUGUUUCGAAGGCAAUCGUCAGCGAAAUAUUUCGUGCUUUUUGCCAAGAAGUGUGGCAAUCAUUGCGUCCCAUUUAUUUGACAGAACAAUUAAGGAACAGUGAAAAAGUGGAUGAGUGUGUUCAUGGGUUUGAGAAGCUUGGCUUUCCGCAAUGUCUUGGUGCCAUAGACGGUUGCCACAUUAAAGUUCGGCCACCUGGGAAGGAUUGCACGGCCUAUUACAAUUAUAAGGGGUGGUACUCUACAGUUUUAUUUGCCCUUGUAGAUUAUAGAUAUCGCUUCCUCUACAUUAAUGUUGGCUGCCCAGGUCGAUGCAAUGACUCAAAACAUUUUUAAUGUAGCAAACUAAAUACUGCAUUGAAGGACCCAAUCUUCACUGCCAAAAGCAAAACUAUUAAUGGCGUGAAUAUUCCUGUGGGCGUUAUGGGUGAUUCGGCUUUCCGAUUUGCCAACAAUCUAAUGAAGCCCUAUCCAUUCCAAGUACAUCCUCCAGAGCAUUAAAAAAUUUUUAAUUACCAAUUGUCCAAAUGCCGAAGAGUGGUGGAAAAUGCAUUUGGACACCUAAAGGCUCGUUUUAGGAGAAUAGGGAAAGGAGUCGACAACCACAUCAAAAAUGUUCCUCUUAUAAUUAAAGCAGCCUGUACAUUGCAUAACUUUUUAAAUUGUCAUAAUUACGUCAUCAACCACAAAUGGAUAGAAGAACAAACCACUUACGAAAGUAGUGUACGCCUGGAACAGCCCGAGCACACAGAUGCUGUAGCAGAUUUUGAAGCAGAACCUGAAACAAUUAGAAGAGCGAUUGCGAAUUCAUUUUACUCCGGAGUCGUCGAAAGUCCUGCAAGCUCAUCGCUUGAAAUUAAUUGGGAUUGGCUGCUCGUCGAAGGAUAGAUAGCAGCGCAACCAAUUUUGUCUUCUGGUUCCACAUCUUGAAUUAAAAUAAAAUAAUAAAUAAAAGAGCAAACAAAAAUUUCAUUUUUAUAUUACCUAUACUCUCUUGCAUGAGUUCUUUGAAAUUUACUGCC